GGGCAGUUAGCUCAGUUGGUAGAGCGUUGCGUUUACAUCGCAAAUGUCACAGGUUCAAGUCCUGUACUGCCCA
rnacentral:tRNA from 1 species